rnacentral:snRNA from 1 species
UGCCUCUUUAGAGACGUCCCGAUAAAAUUUGAGUGAUACAUUGAAGAUUAGCAUGUCACCUGCGCAAGGUUGGAAUGCGCAGAUCAAGAAAUGGUUCCGAGUGAU